UACGUAGGGGGCCAGCGUUGCUCGGAAUUACUGGGCGUAAAGGGUCCGUAGGCGGUGUAGCAAGUCGAUAGUGAAAUCUCUGGGCUUAACCCAGAGGCUGCUAACGAAACUGCUGUGCUAGAGUGUGAGAGAGGCGAGUGGAAUUACGGGUGUAGCGGUGAAAUGCGUAGAUAUCCGUAGGAACAUCCGAGGCGAAGGCGGCUCGCUGGAUCACAACUGACGCUGAGGGACGAAAGCUAGGGGAG
rnacentral:rRNA from 1 species